rnacentral:rRNA from 1 species
GGUUGCGAUCAUACCAGCACUAAUGCACCGGAUCCCAACAGAACUCCGCAGUUAAGCGUGCAUGGGCGAGAGUAGUACUAGGAUGGGUGACCCCCUGGGAAGUCCUCGUGUUGCAACCCUC